UAUCGUAUUAUUAUCGUAAUCCACAACGAUAAAGUCGUGAAACCGGCGAAACUCGAGAUUAGAAAAGUAUAAAGUUUAAAAAUAUAAUUCGGACAGUCGAGUCGGUCGAGUUCGCGAUAAAUUAUACGUGGUCCCGAGGGUGCCGAAUUCGAUUCUGUGUACAGACGAUAGUAUAUAAAAUAGCCCCUCCAAAGUCCAAGAAUUUGAUUUCGCGCGUGCAUGUGUUUCGAGAUUUAUAAUAGCUUCU